rnacentral:rRNA from 1 species
UACGGAGGAUCCAAGCGUUAUCCGGAAUCAUUGGGUUUAAAGGGUCCGUAGGCGGUUUAAUAAGUCAGUGGUGAAAUCUGGUCGCUCAACGAUCAAACUGCCAUUGAUACUGUUAGACUUGAAUUACUGUGAAGUAACUAGAAUAUGUAGUGUAGCGGUGAAAUGCUUAGAUAUUACAUGGAAUACCAAUUGCGAAGGCAGGUUACUAACAGUUGAUUGACGCUGAUGGACGAAAGCGUGGGGAGCGAACAGGAUUAGAUACCCUGGUAGUCCACGCCGUAAACGAUGGAUACUAGUUGUUUGGAUUUAUCUGAGUGACUAAGCGAAAGUGAUAAGUAUCCCACCUGGGGAGUACGAACGCAAGUUUG